UACGUAGGUGGCAAGCGUUGUCCGGAAUUAUUGGGCGUAAAGGGCGCGUAGGCGGUCUUUUAAGUCAGAUGUGAAAUCCCGAGGCUCAACUUCGGGCGUGCAUUUGAAACUGGGAGACUAGAGUGCAGGAGAGGUAAGUGGAAUUCCUAGUGUAGCGGUGAAAUGCGUAGAUAUUAGGAGGAACACCAGUGGCGAAGGCGACUUACUGGACUGUAACUGACACUGAGGCACGAAAGCGUGGGGAGCGAACAGG
rnacentral:rRNA from 1 species